rnacentral:rRNA from 1 species
UCAUAAGAAUGUGAAGCCGUUAGAAGCUUAAACGGGUGGAACUGCGAAGGGUGAAAGAGGGCAUUCAAGCCGGCGGUGUCACGGGAUGUUUGGUGUUGCUUGAGAGAGGCGCCAGUGUGUUUAAUAGCUGAAAUAUGGCGUGGCAGCACCCCUCCUAGAGAGAAGUGGCAUCGUCGGGUGUACUUGUUCCCUCGAGUAGAGACACGCAGCGAGCCGUCUGCGGGAGCCAGGAGGGCCAACUCAUGCCGGACUGGUACCCUUGGUGGGAAGGGGAAACCGGCAGGUGCUGCUCUAUGACUGGCUCUGGUUAUGCGUGACGGCCGACUCCCAGGGGGCUGGUAGCUUCUCGCUGUGAAGUAGCGGUGAUCCACCCGACCCGUCUUGAAACACGGACCAAGGAGUCUAACCUGUACGCGAGUCUAAGGGUACUCAUGAGACCUGGAGGCGCAAUGAAAGUGAGCAGCAGCAUUUUAUGAUGUAUGUGGGCCGAUCCCCGGGGGUAAGAGCCCGGGGCGCAGGCCGAGGACUCGCCGUGAGGCUACCCUUGACUGCUGCUCUUGU